CACAGGGGGCAGACUACUCUGAGCAGUGACAUCUCUCUUAUUCUGAACUCCAAGCUCCAGACACAGCUGAGAUGCCAGAAAUGUGUGAACUGAUGGUGUCAUGAGACAAAAAGAGCUGUUGGUUGCAUUGCUGGGGGUUUUUCCAUUCUUGCAAGUUGAGACCCUGCAAAGUUACUGAGAAGGCAUUGCUUCGUGAGGAAAUUGGAGAGAGAUAAGCUGAGGUAUGCAGAACCCAAGAAGUGAUUGGUCCAGUAAUGCAAAGGAGGGACCAAGAACAGAGCUCAGAUCUCCUGAAACCCAGCCACUUCAUCUGCAAUGCAAGGGAGGAGGAAAAUGUUAUCUGAAGAAUCCUUUUUCCAAAAAGCUUUAGAGUCUUCUGUCAAACAGCCUGAAGUCCCAUCUCCCACCACAGACUAUCAUGGUGCCUCUCAGAAGUGUGUUUUGUGGAAAAAUGAGAAAGUUUCCUCAUACUUGAAGACACAUGUCUGGAAUUCAGAGUAAAUACUGAUAUUUGUGAUGGUGUUGUUGCCAUAAACCUGCUCAAGUGAUAAAUGGAUGCAUAUGGCCAAGUGGAUUUGGGGCAGAUGGGUCUAAUUUGGGCAACGCACACGCCUGACCACAGCGCUGGCCAAUGCCUGACUCAAGUCAAAGCUGGAAGAAAGGGACAUCUGUAGUCAAUAUAAAAAUAUGACUAAGUCAGUUACCUGUCUUGCUCCAUCAACAGGGGACAGCCCAGGGCCUGCUGAGCUCCCCUGCAUGGCAGGAUCUCCCCUUGAGCAGGGACACCUCUAAAGGUUACUCACUCCUUCGAGGUUGAGAGGGUCCUUGCCACAACAGGUUCUUGGUAAGAAAUUAAUAGCAUGUCACUCUGAAAUCUCAGCCGAGUGCUGUAAAGGAUUGAUGAGGCACACAGAAUCCUUCGGACACAAGCCACUGACCAAGUCUGGGACUAGGACUGGAUCCCGCCCUGCCUAGACUCCUCUUUGGGAGGCAGUUUAAAACUGAAGGGGGUCCUUUCCAGACCGCAUGACUCAGCGGGAGGGUCUCCCUGACGCUUUUGUCUGACCCUGUCCUCUAUGCAGUAACUGCUCAGGUGCACCUUGCUGUGGCAUCUUGAUAAAUUAAACCCGUCGCAUUUACUGUUGAGCUUUGUUAACUCACCAUCUUACAUCAAUAAAAUAUAUUGUUGCUUCUCUCUUGCGAGUGAAGUGCAUCACUCUAUCCGUGACAGCGAAAUCUAGUUCAAUUAGUUCAUCCUGCUCUGGUUGUUAAAUCUUGCUCCCAUUCCCUUUGAGGCAGUUCUCUACUUGCAGUGCUAUAUUUUUAAUUAUCUGUAUCAUCAGACAUGCUUGUUGAAUGGCUAGAGAAUCCAGAGAAGUCAAAGCAUACUCGAAGGCAAAGGAAGAUGCUAUAAAAAGCUGUGGCCAGCAUCUACAUUUUAAUUAGGAUUUCACAAACUUCAGGACUCCAUCAGCAUCAGUACUUACAGUCCUGUUUAUUUUUAGUAGCUCUGCUCAUUGUGUAAUAUGGGAAAUAAAUACCAGAGCUUUAAAAAUGUAAUAAAAGACUCUUUUCA